UGGUUAUUGAGAAGAAACAAAAAUCAAUUGUAAUUGAUUAUUUAGAGAUAACUUUGAUAACCUAAGGAAUGUAAAGUGGUUUAAUAACUACUUAGUCCAUAGAUAUCUCUAUUAGGCUUCUACUUGCGGUUGUAUUGGCUUUCAAGGCAUGAAUUAAGUCUAUCAAUAUGAAGAAAAUGUUAGAAAUUCUUAUGCAUUAUAGUGAAAUAUUGCAUGCAUAUAGGUUAAGAUUCUAUCAAGGAUAUGAAUCUCAAAGAACUAAAUUAUCAAUAUACUCAUGUUCGACUUGAAAAGACU
rnacentral:lncRNA from 1 species